rnacentral:tRNA from 1 species
GCGACCGAUCCACUUUGGAGGUUUGCCCUCCGAAGGCAAAGGUCGUACGUUCGAAUCGUAUCGGGUGCGCCA